AUUGAACGCUGGCGGCAGGCCUAACACAUGCAAGUCGAGCGGAUGAAGGGAGCUUGCUCCUGGAUUCAGCGGCGGACGGGUGUGUAAUGCCUAGGAAUCUGCCUGGUAGUGGGUGAUAACGUCCGGAAACGGGCGCUAAUACCGCAUACGUCCUGAGGGAGAAAGUGGGGGAUCUUCGGACCUCACGCUCUCAGAUGAGCCUAGGUCGGAUUAGCUAGUUGGUGAGGUAAAGGCCUACCAAGGCGACGAUCCGUAACUGGUCUGAGAGGAUGAUCAGUCAAACGGGAAGUGAGACACGGUCCAGAGUACUAAGGGAGGCAGCAGUGGGGAAUAUUGGACAAUGGGCGAAAGCAUGAUCCAGCCAUGCCGCGUGUGUGAAGAAGGUCUUCGGAUUGUAAAGCACUUUAAGGGGGGAGGAAGGGAAGUAAGUUAAUACCUUGCUGUUUUGACGGUAACAACAGAAUAAGCACCGGCUAACUUCGUG
rnacentral:rRNA from 1 species